GCUGCGCUCGCCAACCAAUCAGCACUAAGUAGCAGUAGUGCUAGCGUCCUGCUGCCUUUGCUGUUGAGAAAAAGGAAACAUACAGCAAACGGGUUUGGGGCAGCAGGAGGCGGGGUUUACUGCUAGACCGUGAUGAUUGAUUGGCUGUUCGCCCCCACUGACGUCAUGGAUAUCGAUGAGAACCCUGGCCUUAUCAUUCCAGGCAAGAGAGGCGUCCCUGCUCCAGACUCCCUGCAUCUCCCUGCGUCUGUGUGGCCUAGAUGGGAGGAACAGAAACUGCUGAACAGGAACUGCCAAGCUAAAUCCAUAGAACAAGGUCACGGAUUUGCUUUCCACCACCUGCAGUAGCCGUCUUUUGAAGCCCACCCUGGAAAACUAUACAGAAAGCAGCUGGUGGGACGUUCGAUCUCCGGCUGUGGAAGUCCCAAAUGUUCAAACCUCAUAUCCAAACAUGCUUCAUCUUCCAGCUCCCCCUCCUCAGUGCUCCUCUACCCAACCCUGCAUGACCCUCCUUUUGGGGUGUGUGUGUGAGGUGGUCUGCUGGAAUAAAGUAAGGGGCCCCACUUUGGCCUUGGACCAUUCUCAGGAGAAAAGUUUCAGACUCUGUCAAUCUUUAUUCUUAGGCUUUGCCAGCAGUAGUGAGGAAAGGGUCAGGGUGCAAUCUUCAUUAUAUGUUCUUGAGGGGAAAAGGGGUCAUUAGAAGCUGUUAUUUUAUAGUCUAGACUGGAUACAUUUAUAUUAAUAUAUGAAUAUAAAAAUGUGGUCUACACUAUACAUCUGUUUGUGCAAUGUAGACUCAUAUAAAGACCAUUGUCUAAUGCAUUGAUCAGAAAGUACUGAUUCUACUGCAUCAAUUUUGAAAUGAAUCAAUCAAAUGUACUAAUUUUCACACCAAAUUAAAAUUCUUCAAUUUA